rnacentral:lncRNA from 1 species
AAAGGCUCCUCAGCUUUAUUUACCACAAAGACCAAAAGAGUAAAACUCUAAAAGAUGAAUGUACACUGUAACACAUAAAAGUGCUGAUUUUGUGAAAAUUUCUACAGAUGUUAUCUUGCCUAAUGUGUGCUAGAACUUCACAUCAUAAAACCACAGAAGCAAAUGCUCCAUUUAGCUAGCCUAUAAGAACUCAACACCUACUAUCAGAUUUCCUUUAGACCAAAAGUCUGUCCCCAUUUUACAUCCGAGUUCCGAGUGAAUGUCUUCAAGUCCAGGUCACCACCAAGAUGGAUAGGCUGUGUAUUCUUUGCAUACUUUUCUUAGGAUUUAAUGAUAUCGGUCAAUUUCAAACCUAUGAACCAACACUGGAGUUCACAGUUACACCUGGAAACAACGUCACUCUCUACUGUGACUGUACGAGAUCCAGUGGAGUAUACAUUCAGUGGUACAGGAACUGUUCUCAUGGAAAUCAGCCUUUGUUGGUUCUGAACACAAUGUUCCCAAAUCAGGGAUCAUCAGUGUUGACCAUAGAUGACAGCUUUGACUUUUUGAAUCCUCUCCCUCGCUUUCAUUUGGUGGAAAACCAGUCCUCUAACUCCUAUGAUCUGAUGAUUGUAAACAUCACGCGUUCUGACGAGGGAUUGUAUUACUGUGGAACCGUAACAGGAUCUGAAAAAUACAUUCGCAGCAGUGUUACAACUAGGAUCAAGCUAUGUGAAACCCAUAACCAACUCAAUUCACAAGACUGCAUUAAGUGCUGGACAUUGUUGUACUGCCUUUGUCCAGCUUGUGCAGUUUUCUCCUCCCUUCUCUCCGCGCUUCUGGUUUAUCACCUCAGUAGGAAAACAGUAUUUGGGUUUGAUAGUGACACCGCUAAAAGACAGCACAUUAAUGAGGAAAGGCCUGAAACAAGAAGUCACACAAGGAUAAAUGAGGAUGAAGAUGUGUGUUAUGCAGCACUGGACGUCCGUCAGAUGUCACAAAAAUCAAGGAAGAGAACUCAGAGUUCAGAAUUCGGUAUUUAUUCUGACAUCAACACCAGCAGGAUGUGAAGCCUGUUUUCUUACAAAUGUGCAAGUAACUGUAUUGCAUUUUGCUAUUUAGCUUCCCCUUGUAAAAAGCAACAACACUGAACAAGACACAAAGCUGUGAUCUAUUUGUCAAAAUUUAUACCAAUAUAUUUAGCUAGGCACAGUCAAUAAACCUUAGCCUGAAAUCA